rnacentral:rRNA from 1 species
AAGGUUAAGCCUCACGGUUCAUUAGUACCGGUUAGCUCAACGCAUCGCUGCGCUUACACACCCGGCCUAUCAACGUCGUCGUCUUCAACGUUCCUUCAGGACCCUUAAAGGGUCAGGGAGAACUCAUCUCGGGGCAAGUUUCGUGCUUAGAUGCUUUCAGCACUUAUCUCUUCCGCAUUUAGCUACCGGGCAGUGCCAUUGGCAUGACAACCCGAACACCAGUGAUGCGUCCACUCCGGUCCUCUCGUACUAGGAGCAGCCCCCCUCAGUUCUCCAGCGCCCACGGCAGAUAGGGACCGAACUGUCUCACGACGUUCUAAACCCAGCUCGCGUACCACUUUAAAUGGCGAACAGCCAUACCCUUGGGACCUACUUCAGCCCCAGGAUGUGAUGAGCCGACAUCGAGGUGCCAAACACCGCCGUCGAUAUGAACUCUUGGGCGGUAUCAGCCUGUUAUCCCCGGAGUACCUUUUAUCCGUUGAGCGAUGGCCCUUCCAUUCAGAACCACCGGAUCACUAUGACCUGCUUUCGCACCUGCUCGCGCCGUCACGCUCGCAGUCAAGCUGGCUUAUGCCAUUGCACUAACCUCCUGAUGUCCGACCAGGAUUAGCCAACCUUCGUGCUCCUCCGUUACUCUUUAGGAGGAGACCGCCCCAGUCAAACUACCCACCAGACACUGUCCGCAACCCGGAUUACGGGUCAACGUUAGAACAUCAAACAUUAAAGGGUGGUAUUUCAAGGUCGGCUCCAUGCAGACUGGCGUCCACACUUCUAAGCCUCCCACCUAUCCUACACAUCAAGGCUCAAUGUUCAGUGUCAAGCUAUAGUAAAGGUUCACGGGGUCUUUCCGUCUUGCCGCGGGUACACUGCAUCUUCACAGCGAGUUCAAUUUCACUGAGUCUCGGGUGGAGACAGCCUGGCCAUCAUUACGCCAUUCGUGCAGGUCGGAACUUACCCGACAAGGAAUUUCGCUACCUUAGGACCGUUAUAGUUACGGCCGCCGUUUACCGGGGCUUCGAUCAAGAGCUUCGCUUGCGCUAACCCCAUCAAUUAACCUUCCGGCACCGGGCAGGCGUCACACCGUAUACGUCCACUUUCGUGUUUGCACAGUGCUGUGUUUCUAAUAAACAGUUGCAGCCAGCUGGUAUCUUCGACUGAUUUCAGCUCCAUCCGCGAGGGACCUCACCUACAUAUCAGCGUGCCUUCUCCCGAAGUUACGGCACCAUUUUGCCUAGUUCCUUCACCCGAGUUCUCUCAAGCGCCUUGGUAUUCUCUACCUGACCACCUGUGUCGGUUUGGGGUACGAUUUGAUGUUACCUGAUGCUUAGAGGCUUUUCCUGGAAGCAGGGCAUUUGUUGCUUCAGCACCGUAGUGCCUCGUCAUCACGCCUCAGCCUUGAUUUUCCGGAUUUGCCUGGAAAACCAGCCUACACGCUUAAACCGGGACAACCGUCGCCCGGCCAACAUAGCCUUCUCCGUCCCCCCUUCGCAGUAACACCAAGUACAGGAAUAUUAACCUGUUUCCCAUCGACUACGCCUUUCGGCCUCGCCUUAGGGGUCGACUCACCCUGCCCCGAUUAACGUUGGACAGGAACCCUUGGUCUUCCGGCGAGCGGGCUUUUCACCCGCUUUAUCGUUACUUAUGUCAGCAUUCGCACUUCUGAUACCUCCAGCAUGCCUCACAGCACACCUUCACAGGCUUACAGAACGCUCCCCUACCCAACAACACAUAGUGUCGCUGCCGCAGCUUCGGUGCAUGGUUUAGCCCCGUUACAUCUUCCGCGCAGGCCGACUCGACCAGUGAGCUAUUACGCUUUCUUAAAUGAUGGCUGCUUCUAAGCCAACAUCCUGGCUGUCUGGGCCUUCCCACAUCGUUUCCCACUUAACCAUGACUUUGGGACCUUAGCUGGCGGUCUGGGUUGUUUCCCUCUUCACGACGGACGUUAGCACCCGCCGUGUGUCUCCCGUGAUAACAUUCUCCGGUAUUCGCAGUUUGCAUCGGGUUGGUAAGUCGGGAUGACCCCCUUGCCGAAACAGUGCUCUACCCCCGGAGAUGAAUUCACGAGGCGCUACCUAAAUAGCUUUCGGGGAGAACCAGCUAUCUCCCGGUUUGAUUGGCCUUUCACCCCCAGCCACAAGUCAUCCGCUAAUUUUUCAACAUUAGUCGGUUCGGUCCUCCAGUUAGUGUUACCCAACCUUCAACCUGCCCAUGGCUAGAUCACCGGGUUUCGGGUCUAUACCCUGCAACUUAACGCCCAGUUAAGACUCGGUUUCCCUUCGGCUCCCCUAUUCGGUUAACCUUGCUACAGAAUAUAAGUCGCUGACCCAUUAUACAAAAGGUACGCAGUCACACGCCUAAGCGUGCUCCCACUGCUUGUACGUACACGGUUUCAGGUUCUUUUUCACUCCCCUCGCCGGGGUUCUUUUCGCCUUUCCCUCACGGUACUGGUUCACUAUCGGUCAGUCAGGAGUAUUUAGCCUUGGAGGAUGGUCCCCCCAUAUUCAGACAGGAUACCACGUGUCCCGCCCUACUCAUCGAGCUCACAGCAUGUGCAUUUUUGUGUACGGGGCUGUCACCCUGUAUCGCGCGCCUUUCCAGACGCUUCCACUAACACACACACUGAUUCAGGCUCUGGGCUGCUCCCCGUUCGCUCGCCGCUACUGGGGGAAUCUCGGUUGAUUUCUUUUCCUCGGGGUACUUAGAUGUUUCAGUUCCCCCGGUUCGCCUCAUUAACCUAUGGAUUCAGUUAAUGAUAGUGUGUCGAAACACACUGGGUUUCCCCAUUCGGAAAUCGCCGGUUAUAACGGUUCAUAUCACCUUACCGACGCUUAUCGCAGAUUAGCACGUCCUUCAUCGCCUCUGACUGCCAGGGCAUCCACCGUGUACGCUUAGUCGCUUAA